AUGGCUUUUGAGUAUUUAAACUGAGAUUAAGUAGAGUAACUUCUUAUUAGCUUAAUAUGUGUGCAUUCUCUAUCUGGGGCGAGCACAAUAAAUGCAUAUUUGGAGCAGGGAGAUGGAACAGAAGCUUGCUUCCUCCACUUCAUGCAUUGAUUUGGGUUUGUAGUACAUUUCAGAAUGGUGCACACCCU
rnacentral:snRNA from 1 species